rnacentral:rRNA from 1 species
GUUAAAGGGUGAUGGCGUGCCUUUUGUAGAAUGAACCGGCGAGUUACGAUCCCGUGCAAGGUUAAGCAGAAGAUGCGGAGCCGCAGCGAAAGCGAGUCUGAAUAGGGCGCAUGAGUACGUGGUCGUAGACCCGAAACCAGGUGAUCUACCCAUGUCCAGGGUGAAGUUCAGGUAACACUGAAUGGAGGCCCGAACCCACGCACGUUGAAAAGUGCGGGGAUGAGGUGUGGGUAGGGGUGAAAUGCCAAUCGAACCUGGAGAUAGCUGGUUCUCUCCGAAAUAGCUUUAGGGCUAGCCUCAAGGUAAGAGUCUCGGAGGUAGAGCACUGAUUGGACUAGGGGCCCCUACCGGGUUACCGAAUUCAGUCAAACUCCGAAUGCCGAUGACUUAUCCUUGGGAGUCAGACUGCGAGUGAUAAGAUCCGUAGUCGAAAGGGAAACAGCCCAGACCGCCAGCUAAGGUCCCAAAGUAUACGUUAAGUGGAAAAGGAUGUGGAGUUGCUUAGACAACCAGGAUGUUGGCUUAGAAGCAGCCACCAUUUAAAG